rnacentral:lncRNA from 1 species
CACAUUAGCGUUGAUAAGUUCCAAAACCCCAGUUGCUGAAAUAUUGGCAUACUCUUGAAGGAUUAGAGAUGAUUUUAUAGUUCUGAAGUCUGAGAUGCUGAAAGAAACUGAGUUCACCAGAUCUGUUGCUAGCAAGAUAACUAAAACAACAGUAAAUAAUUUCUGGAUAUUAGUUGGAAAUAAAUUAGCCAUUGUAUUCAAGUUUGUUUUCAUAUACUAAAUAAAUGACCGAUGAUUUUAGUUGUGAAUGAGAAUUGUAGGUUUGGCACGUCUAUUUAUAGAAACUCUAGCUCGAUCGGUUUUGUACUAUAAUAAUAUAAUAUAAUAUAUACUCAUAUCCGAUAGAUAAUAUACGACUUUAAGUAUUGAACUUUAUAUGUUAG